rnacentral:rRNA from 1 species
GCACAAGCAGUGGAUUAUGUGGUUUAAUUCGAAGCAACGCGAAGAACCUUACCAGGGUUUGACAUCCAACUACGAAGCAGAGAUGCAUUAGGUGCCCUUCGGGGAAAGUUGAGACAGGUGGUGCAUGGUUGUCGUCAGCUCGUGUCGUGAGAUGUUGGGUUAAGUCCCGCAACGAGCGCAACCCUUAUUGCUAGUUGCUACGCAAGAGCACUCUAGCGAGACUGCCGUUGACAAAACGGAGGAAGGUGGGGACGACGUCAAAUCAUCAUGCCCCUUAUAUCCUGGGCUACACACGUAAUACAAUGGCAUUAAACAGAGGGAAGCGAAGGAGCGAUCCGGAGCAAAUCCCUAAAAAGGUGUCUCAGUUCGGAUUGCAGUCUGCAACUCGACUACAUGAAGUCGGAAUCGCUAGUAAUCGCGGAUCAGCAUGUCCGCGGUCGAAUACGUUCCGGGUCUU